CAUAUCCUAAUGAGUAAAUAUUUAAUAUUAGGUGAUGCCUGCCCAGUGAAAAAAAUUAUAUUUAAACGGCCGCAGUACUCUAACUGUGCUAAGGUAGCAUAAUUAAUUGGCUUUUAAUUGAAGUCUGUAUGAAUGGCUAAACGUAGAAUUUCUGUCUUUAGAAAGUUUUCAAAAAUAAAUUUAUUAAAUAGGUGAAAAUACCUUUUAUUAGAGAAAAGACGAGAAGACCCUAAGAAUUUAUAAACUAAAAUUUUGUUGGGGCAACACUGAAUCAGAAAAAAUUGAAAAAUCUUCAGAAAAAAAAUAAAUAAAUAUUACCGAAAUGUAAUUUGUUUUCGUGAAUAAUUAAAUUACCUUAGGGAUAACAGCAUAAUUUUAUUUAAAAGAUUGUGACCUCGAUGUUGGACUAAGGUAUCUUAGAGUAGAAAUUCUAAGUUUUUAGCUCUGUUCGAGCGAAUUUAAACCUUACGUGAUCUGAGUUCAGACC
rnacentral:rRNA from 1 species